rnacentral:rRNA from 1 species
UAGGGAAUCUUCGGCAAUGGGGGGAACCCUGACCGAGCAACGCCGCGUGAGUGAAGAAGGUUUUCGGAUCGUAAAGCUCUGUUGUUAAGGAAGAACGAGUGUGAGAAUGGAAAGUUCAUACUGUGACGGUAUCUAACCAGAAAGCCACGGCUAACUACGUGCCAGCAGCCGCGGUAAUACGUAGGUGGCAAGCGUUGUCCGGAUUUAUUGGGCGUAAAGCGAGCGCAGGCGGUUAGAUAAGUCUGAAGUUAAAGGCAGUGGCUCAACCAUUGUAGGCUUUGGAAACUGUUUAACUUGAGUGCAGAAGAGGAGAGUGGAAUUCCAUGUGUAGCGGUGAAAUGCGUAGAUAUAUGGAGGAACACCAGUGGCGAAGGCGACUCUCUGGUCUGUAACUGACGCUGAGGUUCGAAAGCGUGGGUAGCAAACAGG